rnacentral:rRNA from 1 species
GGUGGGGAUGACGUCAAGUCCUCAUGGCCCUUAUGGUAGGGCUUCACACGUCAUACAAUGGUCGGUACAGAGGGUUGCCAAGCCGCGAGGUGGAGCCAAAUCCCUUAAAGCCGAUCGUAGUCCGGAUCGUAGUCUGCAACUCGACUACGUGAAGUCGGAAUCGCUAGUAAUCGCAGAUCAGCAUGCUGCGGUGAAUACGUUCCCGGGUCUU